UACAGAGGUCUCAAGCGUUGUUCGGAUUCAUUGGGCGUAAAGGGUGCGUAGGUGGCGUGGUAAGUCGGGUGUGAAAUUUCGGAGCUUAACUCCGAAACUGCAUUCGAUACUGCCGUGCUUGAGGACUGGAGAGGAGACUGGAAUUUACGGUGUAGCAGUGAAAUGCGUAGAGAUCGUAAGGAAGACCAGUGGCGAAGGCGGGUCUCUGGACAGUUCCUGACGCUGAGGCACGAAGGCCAGGGGAGCAAACGGG
rnacentral:rRNA from 1 species